UAUCUAUUUGCCUUUGAUUGGUCUGUAGAGAUUUCAGUUAGUUUUAUUGAUAUUAAUAACAAUUUAUUGUUAAUAAUAGUUCUGAUAAUAUGUCAUCUUGUGUAUGGUUGUGUAUUUCAAUGAGGCCCAUCAAAUUGUCUAAUAUUUCUUUCAAUAAGAAGCCCGUGGAGUUUUGAAUAGAUGUUCCAUGGUAAACAGAACACAGUGAUCAGUUUUCUCUGCUAGUAUAGGGCUUUUACCUCUGGCAUUAAUCUGAGGAUGUUGUCUGCUAGCAGGAAGAACGUAUUAGGAGAAGCAUGGCCCUGUGCAAAAAGUGAGAUUCCAUAACAAAAGUAUGCAGCACACCAUGUCACAGCCUCAUUUCAGUCUUGUCACGUUAUUCUCUCCCAUUUUCUUUUGGAGAUUAGAGAGGAAUUCAAACUGGGAUAUCAACAGAAGCUGCCCCUACUGCUGGUUGGAGGAGUGAUACCCAUAUGUUGAUGAAGGCAGUAUAAAAAUAUUACCUGUUCAAACAGGAGGGGGGAAAAAAGAAGAUAAAAGUUAUCUCACGUUACUCACUGUUCCAUGCAAACCAGACAGAGCGCUGAUCCUAUUCCUUUCACCUUGACAGCGCCCACCAUGUUCAACGGUAAAUAUUGCAAGAUUUGCAGAACACCAUCAAUCUGGUUUAACUGCUCUGUAUGGUAACGGCCCUUUCCAAUCUCUCCAUACAGUUAUUUUAAUCUCAUCGGAGUACUUUAGUCGCUGUGAGGGAACCAGCUGCCCUACGUAAGCUGCACACUGCCAGGCACACGGCGCCCUUCCAGCAGAGCAGCACGCUGCUAAUGCAGUUUUCUCAGUUUGGAUAGUUAAAGCUGCAUCUCCAGGCCAAUUUGUACCUGUGUAUUGUUGAUAGUGUGCCACAGGCGAAGAGAUACUACAGGAAAUGGAUUCUCAUUUGACCGUGUUUAAUUUUGUUCCCUGGAUCUCCAUCAUACAUCUUUCCAUCCCUCUGCCCACCCAAAUGGCUCAUGUGAAACAAGGCGACUUCCGUCACCGCAGCCCCUAAACUGAUGUGUGAUGAUGCUGUGAUUGAUUUGGCACUUUG
rnacentral:lncRNA from 1 species